AAGGGCUCGCAGGCGGUUUCUUAAGUCUGAUGUGAAAGCCCCCGGCUCAACCGGGGAGGGUCAUUGGAAACUGGGAAACUUGAGUGCAGAAGAGGAGAGUGGAAUUCCACGUGUAGCGGUGAAAUGCGUAGAGAUGUGGAGGAACACCAGUGGCGAAGGCGACUCUCUGGUCUGUAACUGACGCUGAGGAGCGAAAGCGUGGGGAGCGAACAGGAUUAGAUACCCUGGUAGUCCACGCCGUAAACGAUGAGUGCUAAGUGUUAGGGGGUUUCCGCCCCUUAGUGCUGCAGCUAACGCAUUAAGCACUCCGCCUGGGGAGUACGGUCGCAAGACUGAAACUCAAAGGAAUUGACGGGGGCCCGCACAAGCGGUGGAGCAUGUGGUUUAAUUCGAAGCAACGCGAAGAACCUUACCAGGUCUUGACAUCCUCUGACAACCCUAGAGAUAGGGCUUUCCCUUCGGGGACAGAGUGACAGGUGGUGCAUGGUUGUCGUCAGCUCGUGUCGUGAGAUGUUGGGUUAAGUCCCGCAACGAGCGCAACCCUUGAUCUUAGUUGCCAGCAUUCAGUUGGGCACUCUAAGGUGACUGCCGGUGACAAACCGGAGGAAGGUGGGGAUGACGUCAAAUCAUCAUGCCCCUUAUGACCUGGGCUACACACGUGCUACAAUGGACAGAACAAAGGGCUGCGAGACCGCAAGGUUUAGCCAAUCCCACAAAUCUGUUCUCAGUUCGGGAUCGCAGUCUGCAACUCGGACUGCGUGAAAGCUGGAAUCGCUAGUAAUCGCGGAUCAGCAUGCCCGCGGUGGAAUACGUUCCCGGGCCUUGGUACACACCCCCCGUCACACCACGAGGAGUUUGCGACACCCGAAGUCG
rnacentral:rRNA from 1 species